rnacentral:sRNA from 1 species
CAUAUGUAUAACAAGGCUUUUGGGUUGAUUUCCUUUUGUAGUGACUCAGAACGUCUCCUCAAUCAUUAUAUUGAGAAUAAAAGUAAAACCCUCUAAGAUUUUGCUCCUCAAGAACAUUUAGGUCUUAGUAUAAUGUUCUUGUAGAUUGCAAGUCCCCAUUGGUUAAUGCUUACCAACGUGUUCACACUUAGCUUCACUAUUUUGCAUUUUUCUUUCUUCCUUCCUUCCUUUCAUUCUUUUUACUUGUUCUGUGAAGAGGCCUAAAUUGAAAAUGUGACAUAUGGCAAAUAGAGAAAACUAUUCUUGUAAAUAAAAAUCAUCCUUUUAAGGAAUCCCUGCAUGUGAGUAUAGGGCAGAAGUGGCAAACAAGGAGCCCAUAAACCAAUGUAAGCUUAAAGGCAGCUGUUAUUUGACUAUUGCCAAAAAAUAAAAAAUAAAACUAAUUUGUUAGUUAUUGACAGUUAAAAAUUCAAGAGAUUUUGUAUGAGCAUCAGUAUUUCUGGCCUCUUUUGGAAGAUUCUGAAUAUCUGGCAGCCCUAGGUCUGCGUUCACGCAUGUCAACACCUGUUGGAGCUCUGUAGUGGCUGCUGCUGUUAGGGCAAGCUUUGCACUUUGCCACGGUCCCCAUUCCUCCUUAUUACUCAAGCUUUGCACUUUGCCACGGUCCCCACUCCUCCUUAUUAUUAUACCCAGCCCUGCUAUCCUCAUUUCUAUUCUGUCCUGGCCCGUCCUGUGGUCUUUGAGUUUGCCACCGUUGAAGUAGAAUUUAUUUUUUCAUUUUACCUUAGUUCCUUUUUGCAAACCUCAGCCUUUGGAUCUCUAAUACUUUCCUUAUCUGAUUCAUGAAAUCAGCCUACUGAUUGGGAUUAAAAGAUGUGGUGUAGAAACUGAUAGUGCAUUUCACGUUCUAAAGGUGUUUGAGGAAAUUGGUAGUGAUAAUGAGUUGGAAUGGUGUAAUAGCCAAAAUAGACACCUAAGAAGACAAAAAGUAAAAACUGCUUGGUGUUUUUAAUUUCAUAACUGAUUUCCUAUUGUUUUAGACCUCCUUGGAAGGUACCUUGAAGUAUUCUGUGAAUCACCAAAGUGGUAAUGAUUUAUCAGGAUACCUAACUCGGAUAAAACCCACAAGUCUUCUUUUUAGUGUUCCAAAUGGAUUUAGUAGCACUAUCUACUGGAACUUAGAAAAGAAAUUGGUAUGAUUAAUAAAUAACUCCUAUUGCUGUUUAAUUAAAAAGAUAACAUCUCAAUAAGGUUAAAAAUUAAUAAUCAAUGUUAACAACAAUAACUGUUUUCAUUUUUGUAUAACUGGUUUUUGUUUACAUGAAUAUAUAUUUUAUAUUGUUGUCAUUACAUUGUUUAAGCCAUGAACAUUAUAUCACAAGCUUUUCCAUGUUGCUA